GACGAACGCUGGCGGCGUGCUUAACACAUGCAAGUCGAACGGAAAGGCCCUGCUUUUGUGGGGUGCUCGAGUGGCGAACGGGUGAGUAACACGUGAGUAACCUGCCCUUGACUUUGGGAUAACUUCAGGAAACUGGGGCUAAUACCGGAUAGGAGCUCCUGCUGCAUGGUGGGGGUUGGAAAGUUUCGGCGGUUGGGGAUGGACUCGCGGCGUAUCAGCUUGUUGGUGGGGUGGUGGCUUACCAAGGCUGUGACGGGUAGCCGGCCGGGGAGGGUGACCGGCCGGGGGGGGACGGAGACGCGGGCCCGAGUGGGGGGGGAGGCGGGGGGGGGGAAUAUAGAGCGGGGGGCGGGAGCCGGGUGCGGCAACGCGGGGUGGGGGAGGACGGCCUGCGUGUCGGCGACCGCUGUCGCCGGUGAGGAGGAGGGGGGGAGGGGGAGGGGGAAAGAAGCACCGGAGAACUACGUGCCAGCGGCCGCGGUAACAAGGGGAAGAGCCCUCGUCUCACC
rnacentral:rRNA from 1 species